rnacentral:rRNA from 1 species
GCAGUCAGAGGCGAUGAAGGACGUGCUAAUCUGCGAUAAGCGUCGGUAAGGUGAUAUGAACCGUUAUAACCGGCGAUUUCCGAAUGGGGAAACCCAGUGUGUUUCGACACACUAUCAUUAACUGAAUCCAUAGGUUAAUGAGGCGAACCGGGGGAACUGAAACAUCUAAGUACCCCGAGGAAAAGAAAUCAACCGAGAUUCCCCCAGUAGCGGCGAGCGAACGGGGAGCAGCCC